AACUUUGCUCUGAACGUUUUCACGUCUAGAGGGAGUUUCCCCAAUUUCAGAGACAAACAAAUGUCGAUUCAGACUUCAAAUAUGUUAAAGCAACAAUAUUUUAAACAACAAAAGCAAAACGAAAGACAUGAUAGUACAUGAACUGAUAAAAAAGUUGUCUCCAAAUUGCCUUGAAUUACAAAAGAGCAAAGAAGAGGACGAGGAAGAAUGAGCAAACGCGGGAGAGUGAGAGAGCGGUCACAGAGAAGAUGCAAGGAAAAGACAGACGUCGAACAGUUUGAUGGAAGAACACACACAAGACAGACAUGAGUCAUCCGCGAGUGUUGUUUUCAUCCACAUUAAAAUUGUGUUUUUUGCGUUUGUGUAUAAUUGUGCGAUAAACGAAACUAAAUGUCUUUUAUAAUGUAAUUUCGGUAAUUUUUUGGCGCGUUUUUUGCUUUGGUUUUCACGCAUCAAUGCCGUUUAGCUAUUUUUGGCAUAGCGAUUCAUGCGACAGACAGAGACAGCCUCUGUUUGAGGUUCCAGGGGUGAGAACAGAAGCUGAGAAAAAGCGGUACAGACUGACAGCGGUUCAGAGGUGAGAAGAACCAACAACAGACUUUGUCUAGGGAGAUACCCCUCCCAACCCUCCUCUCAUGGCGCUGCCAAAAAUUUCAACAUGACUUUAUGUACAUAUAUUGUAUACGUGCGAUGGAAGAGAAAAUUUAUGUGUAGAUACAUUUUGGCCAGACGCUAGAUACACAAAAUGAAACGCCUGGCAAGGGGGCAGACACAGAAAUGACAUAGGCUAA